UGGGGGAUAUUGCACAAUGGGCGAAAGCCUGAUGCAGCGACGCCGCGUGGGGGAUGAAGGCCUUCGGGUUGUAAACUUCUUUUGCUCUGAACAAGGCAUGCUAAUGGGUGUGUUGAGUGUAGGGGUUGAUUAGCGCCGGCUACCUACGUGCCAGCAGCCGUGGUAAUACUUAGGGCGCGAGCGUUGUCCGGAAUUAUUGGGCGUAAAGGGCUUGUAGGUGGCUGGUUGCGUCGGUCGUGAAAGCUCAUGGCUUAAAUGUGGGUUUGCGGUGGGUACGGGCUGGCUUGAGUGCAGUAGGGGAGGCUGGAAUUCCUGGUGUAGCGGUGGAAUGCGCAGAUAUCAGGAGGAAUACCGGUGGCGAAGGCGGGUCUCUGGGCGGUUACUGACACUGAGGAGCGAAAGCAGGGGGAGCGAACAGG
rnacentral:rRNA from 1 species